CCUACGGGGCGCUGCAGUGAGGAAUAUUGGUCAAUGGGCGGGAGCCUGAACAAGCCAAGUCGCGUGAGGGAAGACGGUCCUAUGGAUUGUAAACCUCUUUAGGCGGGGAGCAAUGUCGGGCACGCGUGCCCGGAGGGAGAGUACCCGCAGAAUAAGCAUCGGCUAACUCCGUGCCUACAGCCGCGGUAAUACGGAGGAUGCGAGCGUUAUCCGGAUUUAUGGGGGUUAAAGGGUCUGUAGGCGGAUUUUUAAGUCAGCGGUAAAAUGUCCGGGGUCAACCCGGGCCGGCCGUUGAAACUGGGGAUCUUGAGUGGGCGAGAAGUAUGCGGAAUGCGUGGUGUAGCGG
rnacentral:rRNA from 1 species